UCAGCCUGCAGGGAUUUUACUGAAUUUUUGAGAUAAUACAACUUAAAAAAAUAGGAUUUAACAGUUAUAUAUCUGAAAUAGACACUGUGUGGAUAAAAGCUACAAAAGUCAAACUUCAAAGGCAUGAAGAGUGGAUUAAAACAACGUCAACUCACAUAGCUGGGGAAUCUCAUGCGAAGAUUCUGCAACUCAGAAUGAAAGUUUGCAAGAUCUCCUUUCUAUUAUGAAGAUGGGGGUUGGGGAUUGGCGAACGGAAAGACGCAGGGAGAUUGAGAACCGCUUUCAAUGUGUCGAUGGCAUCAACUCACCAUCCCUGGGAAGAAACAAGGAUUUUUUUUUUGUUUGGGCCGCUUUUAUUUGGGCUUUAGGUCGAGGGCACCUGUUUAUGGAGAGCAGCGAGUGUGAGAACAAACAGCGCCGCGCCCUGGAGUGCACUGAAAAUUAACCCACUCCAAAACCAACAGUUCCAACUUUCAAGCAGCGCUUCAAAUCCUGCUGCGGACGGAGUAAAACAAUAAAUUUGUACUUUAGGACUGAGGUGUGUUGCCCUUUUGACGAGAGGCCAGCCUGUUGUCUUUUCCUUUCCGUUCAUUCUCAACAAUAAAGAAAGACGAACACUGGAAUUUCUGCACAGUUCAGGUCCAACAGCCGGAAGUAAGUCGCUUGUUUAAGAGAGACGACAAUGUUGAAGUGGGAUGCAAUAUUUUAAAUGGAGCACGGCGGACCGGAAGAUAAACUGGUCUCAACAGCGCCAAUUUUCUUUUUAGUCAUGCAAUCCAUCUUUAGCAAACAGGGGGGACUGCUUCUCUAUUAAAAACCCGAAAGAAUUGCGGACGCUGUAAAUCAGAAACAAAGCCAGCAGUUGCUGGAAAAGCUCGGCAGGCCAGGCAGCAUCCGUGAAGAGAAAACAGAGUUAACGCUUCGGGAUCCGCUGAUCCUUGCUUAGAACAGGCAAACUAAAUGCAAACCUGAAGAAAACUAGUUAAUCUCUUGUAGAGCACUUGUGAAAGCUGUGACUUUCAACUGAUAGGUCCGAGACUUUGUAUAUGGGUAUCAGUCACCUUCUGUCUCAUUUCAACCAGUGUAGCAUUUGGAGGAAGACAACUGAAGUUGACCAACAGUAAAGUUAUAAAGAUCAAACCUUUUCAGACUCUCAGUCAUGUCACUGAUGUAUUGCUGCUCACUCUACAUUAACUCUGUGCUGACACUGACUGUUCAACUUUAAGAAGAAAAAGGGUUAAACAUUUUCAUAAGUCCUGUCAAGUUCUCUGUGACGAUGUUACACAGCCCUCUUAUGUAUUUUUCAUGUAUUUGGAUUCUGAGAUGAGUCUGGGAAGCCUAAUAAAGUCUUCUAUUGGC